ACGACAUUUUCUGCCAUAUGUUUCUGUCUCUGUGUAGUUUAUUUCCGUUAUUUCCAUUAUUUCCGUUAUUUUUGUUUUUUCCGAUAUUUGUGUCUCUGUAAAGGUUCUUUUCUUUUUUUCCGUUCUUUUUGUUCUUUCCGUUGUUGUUCUUGACCUGUCACCUAAUUUUCUGCUGUAUGUUUCUGUCGCUCUGCAGGUUUGUUCCAUUAUUUCCGUUAUUUCUGUUGUUCUUCUUGACUUGUCAUCGAAUUUUCUGCCAUAUGUUUCUGUCACUGUGGAAUUUAUUACUGUUCUUUCCGUUCUUUCCGUUCUUUCCGUUGUUGUUCUUGACCAGUCACCUAAUUUUCUGCCGUAUGUUUUUGUCUCUGUGGAGGUUAUUUCCGUUAUUUCUGUUAUUAUUUGCGUUAUUUCCGUUAUUUCCGUUAUUUCCAUUGUUGUUCUUGACCUGUCACCUAAUUUUCUGCAGUGUGUUUCUGUCUCUCUGGAGGUUUUAUCCAUUAUUUCCUUUAUUUCCGAUAUUAUUUCCAUUAUUUUCAUUAUUAUUUCCGUUAUAUCCAUUUUUAUUUCUGUUAUUUCUGUUAUUUCCAUUAUUUUAAUUAUUUCUGUUGUUGUUCUUGACCUGUCGCCUAGUUUUCUGCCGUAUGUUUCUGUCUCUCUGAAGGUUCUUUCCGUUAUUUCCGAUAUUAUUUCCGUUAUUUCCGUUUGUAUUUUCGUUAUUUCCGUUAUUUCCAUUAUUAUUUCCGUUAUUUCGUUUUUUUCUGUUAUUUCCAUUUUGUUCUUGACCUGUCACGUAACUUUCUGCCAUAUGUUUCUGUCUCUCUGGAGGUUCUUUCCAUUCUUUCCGUUAUUAUUUCUGUCAUUUCCGUUAUUUCCGUUGUUGUUCUUGACCUGACACCUAAUUUUCUGCCGUACGUUUCUGUCUCUGUGGAGGUUUUUUCCGUUAUUUCCGUUAUUAUUUCCGUUAUUUCUGUUUUUUCUGUUAUUUCCGUUGUUCUUCUUGGCCUGUCAUCUAAGUUACUGAAGUAUGUUUCUGUCUCUCUGGAUAUUAUUUCCGUUAUUUCCGUUAUUUCUGCUAUUUCUGUUUUUUCUGUUGUUCUUCUUGGCCUGUCAUCUAAGUUUCAGAUGUAUGUUUCUGUUUCUCUGGAGUUUGUUUCCGUUAUUAUUUCCGUUAUUUCCGUUAUUAUUUCAGUUAUUUCUGUAAUUAUCUUUGUUAUUUCCGUUGCUCUUCUUGGCCUGUCAUCUAAGUUUCUGCUGUAUGUUUCUGUCUCUCUGGAGUUUGUUUCCGUUGUUUCCCUUGUUUCCAUUGUGUCUGUUAAUUCCAUUGUUCUUCUUGGCCUGUCAUCUAAGUUUCUGCAAUAUGCUUCUGUCUCUCUGGUUGUUAUUUCCGUUAUUUCCGUUAUUUCCGUUAUUUUUGUUAUUUUCGCUCUAUCCGUUAUUUCCUUCAUUUUUCUUGGCCUGUCAUCUAAGUUUCUACUGUAUGUUUAUGUCUCUCUGAAGUUUGUUUCCGUUGUUUCCAUUGUUUCCUUGGUGUCCGUUAUUUCCGUUGUUCCUCUUGGGCUGUCAUCUAAACUUCUGCUGUAAGUUUCUGUCUCUCUGGAGGUUAUUUCCGUUAUUUCCAUUAUUUAUUUCCGUUAUUUCCGUUCUUUAUUUUAGUUAUUCUUGUUGUUUAUUUCCGUUAUUUCCAUUAAAUAUUUAUGUUAUUUCAGUUAUUUAUUUCCGUUAUUUCCGUUGUUCUUCUUGGCCUUUCACCUAAGAUUCUGCUGUAAGUGUCUGUCUCUCUGGAGGUUAUUUCCGUUGUUUCCGUUGUUUCCGUUCUUUCCGUUAUUUCUGUUAUUUCCAUUGUUCUUCUUGGCCUGUCAUCUAACUUUCUGCUGUAUGUUUCUUUCUUUCUCUCUGCAGUUUAUUUCCGUUAUUUCCAUUAUUUCUGUUAUUUUUGUUGUUCUUCUUGGCCUGUCAUCUAAAUUUCUGCUGUAUGUUUCUGUCUCUAUGGAGGCUGUUUCCGUUAUUUCCGUUAUUUCUUUUAUUUCCAUUGUUCUUCUUGGCCUGUCAUCUAAGUUUCUGCAGUAUUUUUAUGUCUCUCUGCAGGUUGUUUCCGUUGUUUCCAUUGUGUCUGUUAUUUCCGUUGUUCUUCUUGGCCUGUCAUCUAACUUUGUGCUGUAUGUUUCUGUCUCUCUGGAGGUUGUUUCCGUUAUUUCUGUUGUUCUUCUUGGCCUGUUAUCUAAGUUUCUGCAGUAUGUUUCUGUCUGUUGGGAGUUUACUUCCCUUGUUAUUUCUGUUAUUUCCGUUACUAAUUCCGUUAUUUCCGUAAUUAUUUCUGUUAUUUCCAUUGUUCUUCUUGGCCUGUCAUCUAAGUUUCUGCAAUAUGUUUUUGUCUCUCUGGUUGUUAUUUACGUUAUUAUUUCCUUUAUUAUUUCCAUCAUUAUUUUUUUUUCUUGUUGUUGUUGUUGUUGUUUCCGUUUUUUCUUUUUUUUUCCCAUUUUUUUCUGUUAUUUCCGUUACACUUCUUGGCCUGUCAUCGAAGUUUCUGCAGUAUGUUUCUUUCUCUCUGGAGGUUAUUUUCGUUAUUUCCGUUAUUUCCUUUAUUUUCCUUGGUCUGUCAUCUAAGUUUCUGCAGAAUAUUUCUGUGUCUCUGGUGGUUAGUUCCGUUAGUUCCGUGAGUUUCGUUGUUUAUUUCCAUUAUUUCUGUAAUUUAUUUCCUUUAUUAUUUUCGUUAUUCUUUCCGUUAUUCUUCUUGCCUGUCAUCUAAGUUUCUGCAGUAUGUUUCUGUCUCUCUGGAGGUUAUUUCCGUUAUUUCCGUUAUUUCCGUUAUUUCCAUUUUUUCAGUUAUUUUCUUUACUUUUCUUGGACUGUCAUCUAAGUUUCUGCUGUAUGUUUCUUUCUCUCUGGAGGUUAUUUCCGUUAUUUCCAUUAUUUCCGUUAUUUCAGUUAUUUUCUUUACUUUUCUUGGCCUGUCAUCUAAGUUUCUGCAGUAUGUUUCUUUCUCUCUGGAGGUUAUUUCCGUUAUUUCCAUUAUUUCCGUUAUUUCAGUUAUUUCCUUUAUUCUUCUUGGCCUGUCAUCUAAGUUUCUGCUGUAUGUUUCUGUAUAUCUGGAGGUUAUUUCCGUUAUUUCCAUUAUUUCCGUUAUUUCAGUUAUUUCCUUUAUUCUUCUUGGCCUGUCAUCUAAGUUUCUGCUGUAUAUUUCUGUCUCUCUGGAGGUUUUUUCCAUUAUUUUCGUUAUUUUGGUUAUUUCUGUAUUUUCGUUAUUUCCGUAAUUAUUUCCGUUAUUUCCGUUGUUCUUCUUGGCCUGUCAUCUAAGUUUCUGCUGUAAGUUUCUGUCUUGCUGGUUAUUAGUUCCUUUUGUUCCGUUAGAUCCGUUAUUUAUUUCCGUUAGUUCUGGAAUUUAUUUCCGUUAGUUCCGUUAUUUAUUUCCAUUACUUUCGUCUUUUAGUUCCCUUAUUUAGUUCCGUUAUUUAAUUCCGUUUUUUCCGUUGUUCUUGGACUGUCAUCUAAGUUUCUGAAGUAUGUUUCUUUCUCUCUGGAGUUUAUUUCCUUUCUUUCCCUUAUAAUUUCCCUUAUUAUUUCCCUUAUUAUUUCCCUUAUUUCCCGUAUUUUUUCCCUUAUUUCACUUAUUCUGUUAUUUCCCUCAUUUCCCUUUUUUCCGUUAUUUCCCUUAUUUCCGUUAUUUACCUUAUUUUCUUUAUUUCCCUUAUUUCUGUUGUUUCUGCUAUUUCUGUUUUUUCCAUUGUUCUUCUUGGCCUGUCAUCUAAGUUUCAGAUGUAUGUUUCUGUCUCUCUGGAGUUUGUUUCCGUUAUUAUUUCCAUUAUUAAUUCAGUAAUUUCCGUAAUUUACUUUAGUUAUUCCCGUUAUUUAUUUCCGUUUUUUCCAUUAUUUAUUUAUGUUAUUUCAGUUAUUUAUUUCCGUUAUUUCUGUAGUUCUUCUUGGCCUGUCAUCUCAGUUUCUGCAGUCUGUUUCUGUCUCUCUGGAGGUUAUUUCCGUUAUUUCCAUUAUUUCCGUUAUUUCUGUUAUUUCCG
rnacentral:lncRNA from 1 species